UAAUACGUAGGUGGCAAGCGUUGUCCGGAAUUAUUGGGCGUAAAGCGCGCGCAGGCGGUCUUUUAAGUCUGAUGUGAAAGCCCACGGCUCAACUGUGGAGGGUCAUUGGAAACUGGAAGACUUGAGUGCAGAAGAGGAGAGUGGAAUUCCACGUGUAGCGGUGAAAUGCGUAGAGAUGUGGAGGAACACCAGUGGCGAAGGCGACUCUCUGGUCUGUAACUGACGCUGAGGCGCGAAAGCGUGGGGAGCAAACAGGAUUAGAUACCCUGGUAGUCCACGCCGUAAACGAUGAGUGCUAAGUGUUAGAGGGUUUCCGCCCUUUAGUGCUGCAGCUAACGCAUUAAGCACUCCGCCUGGGGAGUACGACCGCAAGGUUGAA
rnacentral:rRNA from 1 species